rnacentral:hammerhead_ribozyme from 1 species
AUCCAGCUGGUGAGUCCAAAACAGGACAAAAUGUGCGUUAUCCUGGAU